UACGUAGGCAGCGAGCGUUGUUCGGAGUUACUGGGCGUAAAGGGUGUGUAGGCGGUUCUUUAAGUUUGGUGUGAAAUCUCCCGGCUCAACCGGGAGGGUGCGCCGAAUACUGAGGGACUAGAGUAUGGGAUGGGAAAGUGGAAUUCCUGGUGUAGCGGUGAAGUGCGUAGAUAUCAGGAGGAACACCUGUGGUGUAGACGGCUUUCUGGACCGUAACUGACGCUGAAACACGAAAGCGUGGGUAGCAAACAGG
rnacentral:rRNA from 1 species